rnacentral:lncRNA from 1 species
UUACUAAGAAACUAGAAAAAUUUAAUCUUAAAGUAUAAGAACAAAACUAAAAAUUGAAAAAGAGAAAAGUUUUGAGCAAAGAAAUACUUACCAAUAGAGAAAGGAUGAAGAUUUGCAAUAUAUGGGUGACAGUAAUAUGAAAAUACAUGCAACAAAGAAUUGAAAAGAAUAAAUUAGGUUAAGGAGGCAAUUAAGAUGAAGCUGCAAUGAAAGAAAAAUUGGGAAAGAUCGAUGAUAUUGUACUGAACGUCGUCGAUCUUUAGCCUUAUUAGAAUUUGGGAAAAUAUUUUAUAAACUGCAAUUUCGG